AUGAAUAGAAGAAGGAGAAAAGAAGAAAGAGAAAAAAAAAAAGAAAAUAGUAAAGAGAGAAAAGAAGAAAAAAGAGAAAGAAAAUAGCAAAUAAAAAAAAUAAAAAUAAUUCUAAAACCAAAGCAAUUCUGCAACCAAACUCAUUCUAAAACCACAAUUAUAUUUUUUUUAGAAAUCCUUUCUAAACCCAAGGGCUCCCCCGAGCGGGCUCUCCCCCCCCCCUCUUUCUUUCCGCACCCCCUUCCCCUCCCCGGCCCGCGGCGGGUGGGAGGCGGAGGCCGGGGGCUGCGGAGGCUCCGCACGUCGCUCACGUCGCACAGGCAGGGCUGGGGCCCGGCCUCCUUCACCCCCCCACCUCCGCCGGGGGGUGCCCGGGCUCUGCUCCGCCUCCGCCUCGCUCCGCAGCCGCGCAAAAAGGCUGGGGCGGAGGCUCCGGGGGAGGCUCGCAGCCUCCCCCCCACCUCCCGGCCUCCGCCCCGGGUCGGGGAUGGAGGAGAGGAGGCUGCGGAGCCUCCCCUGCGCUGCCUCCGCUAGGCGCAAUUAAUGCAUGUAGGUGUAUUUUAUUAGGGUGAGUAUUGGGUGUUUUUAUCCCAAACGUAGCCACGCUUGGGGAUUUUUAACCCAUCAGUUAGAUUCCCGCAGGUGACCUCGCCGCCUUCAAUUCAGCAGGUGAAAAGCACUAAUUCCAACCCAAACGUGGCAAAGGCAAUAAAUAAAGGUGCGGGGAAAUCCAGCUUUCCCCUCCAAAAUAAUAAUACAAUUAAAAUUAACAUGAACAUCACGAUUUGGGGAUGCUCACAUCCCAAGCGACGCGGUGCAGCCCAGGCAACAGUGGGAUGCUGGGUGGUCAGGUGGGGAAAGUUCAAUAUUUCAUGGCUGGGAAGUGCUCCACUGGGUUUAUUCUAGCUUGAUUUGCUAAAUAAAGCAAAUUUUGCACGGAAAUAAAGAUGCUGGCAAGUUAGCAUCUCAGCUACAUACUGAAUAGCCUCCGGUAUUAUUUUAGGGCAUCUUCCACUAGGAAAAACAGGCAUGUGUUUUUAUGACAAAGAAUAUCUUUUUGGCUGUCUCCUUACAUGGAGUCGAGAUGGAUGGAGUAAAAAAAAAAAAAAAAAAGUGCACAAUCCCUCAGUGUGCUACGCAGGAAAAAUAUAUUCAUAGACAAAAAAAAAAAAUGGUACUGUGUGGGAGCUGCAAAGGAUGCAGAGAUUUGGGAUGUGGGAAGGAAGAGGGUGAGAGCAUCAGCUGGAGAGGUGGGGGUGAAUCAGCGAGACAGAGAUGUGCCCCCCCAAGACAAUACACAAAAUACAUCCUCGGGGAGGGCAGAAGACUAUUUUGAUAGAUUUUGGCUAUUUUAUUUUCCCCCUUUCUCCAAAAAUCCAUUUCAGCAAUGGGUUUUAUGCCACCCUGGGUGGAGGCAGGUUGAUCGGAUGCUAUUGCCGCUGCUGCUAAAUUAAUCUUUCCCCACAGAGGGCAGGAAAAAUUCGGUAACCAGCUAAAACGCAGCUCAGAAGAGGGAAGAAAAUUCACAUGCUGAUGCAGGACAAGGGUUUGGGGCAUUCCCCUUCCUUCUGCAGCUCCGUGCUCCUCUCCACGUCUUUCCCAGAAGCUUCAGCCGCUUCCAAAAUCACCACCGCAAGAGCGUCGAAAAGAGCAGGAAAGCGAACCUCCGCCUGAAUUAAAAUCACAGUCGCUUCAAAUUAGAUCCACCUAGUAACUCUUGGCUAAAAAUGCCUAAAUAACUGGAGCGGAAAGCUAGACCAUACUUAAACUCCUAAAUAAGUGGCCUGGUUUCCAAAGGCACGAACACGCAGCUGCUCCAAGCGAGGUCAGCUGGAAGGAGCAUCAUUACUAUUUAUAAGGCACUCUUGGUUGUGAGGGUGGUGGCAGCACAAGGUGCAUUGGGAGGUAUAAAAAUGUAAAGCCAGGGAUUGAAAUCUGCAGAUGAAAUCACUUCGGGUGGGAAUCCAGUGGGAACAGGGGGAAAAAUCCCAAAUCUGUGAGAGCAAUCUCUUAUGGGGAUUGUAGCCUGGUGACUUCUCUGAAAUACCAAAUUCCAAAUACCUCCUUUCCCUUAUUUUGUGUCCCUGCUGUUAAAACACCGAAAUGACCUAGCAGCCAUCCCAAACGGUGGGAAAAGGCUCUGUAUAGGGCCCAAAAUCCAAACCCUGGGCUCAAGUCCCCAUCCCCUGGGGAAGAACCUACCUGGGUACCAAUCCAGGGGAUGGCAGCCAGCCCUGGCACCGUUCCCACGCCAUCAAAAUGCAGGGAACGGCAGCCCCAACUCUGACUAAGCUGUGAUUCAUCACCUUUUUUUCUUUCUUUUUCCUUUUUUUCCUUUAAAGGAAGCUCGCAAGGAAAGCACGAGUCCCAUUCAUGCCUACGUUCAGUGCAGCAUUGGGGCCGUCGUGGCGUCAAAGAUGAGAGGGUGCAAUUUACGGGGAACCCGAGCGCCUCUUCGCAUGGAUAAAUUUGGAGGUGGUGGCUCAGGGCUUGCAUCACCGCGAAGAUACAGCUAUAGGAGCCCUUCAAGCAGAAGGAUGAGGGUUCAAGCCUAGUUAGCACCUGAUUUACUGCAAGGAGCUUUGCAAAGGGAGGAUGGCAGUGCUGUGGUUUAGGAAUUUGCACUGAUGCUGAUACGAGGCAAGAGACACCCAAAAAGUGAGUGAUUUCUAUGCUGUUAGGAAAAGGAAACACAGCCCGGGAGGACGAAAAGUGCAGGUGAUGAGAAGCGUCAAUUGGCAGCACGGGAGAAAGUGAUUGUGGCUCAAAAGAGGUGCCAAAAGUAACAGGAAAUAUUUCAAGCCGUCGGAUUUGUGCCCAAACUAGGGACUUUUGGUUAUAACUGGGUGAGUUAAAGGCAAACAGCAAAGGAAAUGGGAGAGGUACAAAUGAAUUGCCUGCCCAUUAUGAAUGUGGAAGAAGGAAGGAUGAGAGCCUGGAUUUCAAGUGCAUUCCCUAAGCUAUGAGUAGAAUCCCCAAGGGUCCUUCUGUCAUUGUGCUGAGAUCUUGGAGAGGGCUGGCAGGUCCCUGGAAAGUCCAAGUAAGACCCAAGGGCUUAGGCAGGUAUCCAGGAGCCAGGACUGAUGAGCCCGAAGGAGCCUUUUAGAUUGAUGUUCCUAUUUAAAAUCCCGUGGAAGGGGUUUUAUCUCUGAUUCAUGGACCAGUUUUGCCUAAACCAGAAAAUAUGAUGCAGAUGCAUCUCUGCUUCCAAAUUACCCCAAUACACUGUCCCACAGAAAGCACCAGGAUGAGGUCCCUGUGGCCUGUCCAUCAGAUGCCUCUCAGGGGACACUAGCCAAGGAGAUAAAAUUUAUGGUCUGAAAAUCUCCUGUAAUUUUCAAGAAAGAAAAAUAAGUUGGAAAUAACAUUCUGAACCUGCAAUGUACAUUGGAGCGGGAACAUUUCUCAAUGCCGGCUGAAAGCCUGCUCAGAAACGUGUCCAAGCAGCUUGAGCAACGUCCUGUGCAAGUUCCCGACCUCAGAAGGCAAGUGCAAAACAAAUCUCCCCCCAUAAGCAGCUAAAUCAGACAGACAACCGGCUCCCUAGGCUGCGGAGACAAACACGGAGCUUUAAAAUUGUUAGAGGGUAAUUACACAGCCAGGAGCCGGGGAUAUUCCGGUCUCAGGAAUCUGAUACUGUUUUCCCUUGAAAUGAAAUCCGGCUGAAAGAUUCCAGGCUUGGUCCCAACAGAGAGGGUCAAAGGCUGCGGAGCUGUCAGGGAGCCAAAAAUCCAGAUUUUGACGCUGCCGGUGACUCCACAACGCCAAUAUUCACCUUAUUGUGCCUCCUCCUGAUGGGUACUUUCAGUUAUAUCAAACAAACAAUUCACACUUUGUCCUGGGCUUUUUAUAUCGGGUGUGAAAUCCCCUGCUGGAGCCCUGGGAUUGAAUCAGGGCGUAAUGCCACGAGAUGCUAAACUCAACCGGAGGUUACCCAGCUCCACAACCACAAGGCACCGACCCAGCCCCAAAUCCUGCUGGGUGGAAAGAAAAGGGCACUUGUAGGGCUUCUGUGUCCCAGGUGAGGCUGUGUCAGCUCAGAUUGCCCCUGUCCUGCUGCCAGCACAUCCCAUAAAGUGCCAGGGUGCUUUGCCCAGAUACAUCAGCAGAAAUAGGGCCACAUGCUCAUGCCUGAUCCAGACCUAAUUCGUGCUGCAAAGCCAUGCAGCAGGUCCAAGAUUUGCCCUGCUCCGAGCACAGAUUGCUACAGGGGUCAUUUAAAUGGCCUAUUUUUGGGGUGGUCUUGUAGGAGGUUGGGUUAAUUAGGAGCUUAAUUCCCCAGCCCCGUGGUGCAUGUGGGAUGCAGCCCUCCACCUCCAUCGGAAACACCCUAGGGACCAGCCUAUUUAAGGUGGAGGAUGGUCACCCUCCGGAAAUCACAGCCUCUCAUUAUCAUUAUCAUUAGAGGACUCUGCUGUUGAAUUAUUGCCCAACGCCUUAUUUGCACCUGCCUUUCAUUAAGGGCCGGGAUCGUUAUCUCAUCAUCAUCGCAGCUUAUUAAAUCAAACAAUGGCAAAGGCUGUGGCCUCUCAUUCGGGGACUGACUCACCUGGUGAUGUAACAGGGACAACCUCAGCAGUGCCAUGGUGACCGGCAGGCUCCCCAGGAGCACUGAUGUCACUGAGCCAGCUGCUGGGGAUGAAGGGGAAUCUCCUGGAAGAAGCCAAGGAGCACCAACACAACGCUCUUGGCUCACUGUGAAAGUUUCAGGUUAGCCUGAGGGCGGCCGGGGUUAGGGAGGAAGCAAACCUUGUGGUUUGUGCUCGUAGGCAGCAAAAUGUGGCAGAUUAAUCACAGCCUGGGAAAAAGGAUGUUUUAUUUAUCUCUGCCAUCACCCCCUGCUAAUAUCAGUGCAGGUCCUGGUAUGUUUUUUUUCUAUCAGGGGUGAUAAAACACCACCUUACAGGGCAGCAUCCUGGGAGGAUCUGCUGUUGGGAGCAUCCGCAAGAAGGCUGUGGGUAGUAUUUGGGAAGGAUUUGUGUCAAUUUGGGUGUCUGCAAGGAGCUGGUUGCUUCUGACCAUCUGCAGAGAGAAAUGGGCACUCCCGGAGUGAUUCACCUGCCCUGCCACGGACACUGAAACCAGGCUAAGUUGUGUUCUGGAGGUGUCCAUGGCCUGUGAGCGUUGGUCUACAGCUAAAGCCAUCUGAUGCAAAUCCUGGUGGGCUUCAGGAUGAGGUGAUCCAAAAUGCAAUUCCUUGUUCCUCAAGACUCAAGCCUUGCUCCUCGAGACACAAACCCACGCUGGGAGCUAGGAUGAAGCUUUGAUGAGGAGCUGCAUUUCGAAACUGCGUACGUGCUGAGGAUCUCUCCACACCCUUGUGAGCACGUCUGCUGUAUCGACAACCCGCUCGUCCCUGCUUCCUUGCAGGGCUGGGACCAUGCAGGCAGUGGCAGGUGAUGGUUGCCCAACAGCAUCCCACACCUCGAUCCCAGCUGAGAAGAACCAUGAUUGGGACCAGCACCACUCCUUGGUUCCCUGUUCCCUCCCCAAGGGCUCACCUCUCCAUCCAGCUGAUGGAAACCACAAGCCACCAAGAAGUGAGGUUUAAGUGUCCCAGGCUGUUGUCACAUGCUCUUAAACCUGAGACCUGCAAGGAUUUUAGGAUGUCUGUGAAAAACAACCAAGCACGUAUGGUCAAUAUGUUGAAAUUCAGAAUGGGAAGGUCCAUGACUAUGCUGAAAGAUGUCCAAGGACCAGCCAACUGAAAGGCCAUCAUGAGAUGGCAAGGAUUUCCGAGUUCUCUGAACCAGGAAUGAAAAUGAUCAAGAGAUGAAAGACAUCUUGAUGAAAGAUGAGGAUCUGCUCUUGAUGGACAUCUCAAGGAGGUCUGUCUUCAGCUGUGGGAGCCAGGCUGAGUCUCCGUAUCUCUUGCUGGAGCUCUCCACAGCCCCAGGUAACCUUUCAGAUCUCCUAAUGACUUAGCCAAUUCCUGGAGCUGAAUAGCUAGAAGCAGUGCACACAGGUUGCUGGAAUGCAGAGGUUAAAUAACCAGAUUUUCUUAUCAGGCUUUUCUCAAAUUUUGUUCUGCAUGGAAGGCAAAUAUUUCAAUUUAUCUAAUUCCUACCAGAAGUUUUCAAUUUGUGUAUUUUAUUUAAUCAUUUCCAUACCAUGAAGACCUAGCCAGAAAAAAAAAGAAAAGUCAAAAUCGGUCCAAAAAUAUCUACAGAAUUUCGUUUCUUCUUUCACUGAUAUUUUCCAAUCAGACAUGAAAAAUAUUAACGGGAAAUUUCUCUGAGAUAUUGGGUCAAACUGAAAUAUGGGGAGCUUGUUGCCAACAUAUUUUCUCAAAUGUAUUUGCAUUUUCCAAGCCACAAUGACAAGCAGUUAACAGCUUCUUGGAGAGAGGGUAGGGGGGCAAGAAAGGAAAAGGAAAGAAAAUUCAGCUGAAUGUUUAGAUUUCUGCCCUGGACUUUAACAGAUAGCAGCCAACUGGCAUUUGGGGACAUGGUAGUUUGGUGGGGAACAGGAGGGCCGCCACCAUGCUUUUGUAACACUGGGAAUGACCCAGUUUUCUCCCCAACCAGCUGCUGUCAUUUGAGCUGAGAAGCAGAGCCAUGAGAUCUGGGCCACACACGUUCCUAUCCCACUGACCAUGAGCUGUCCCCACUGAGUGUGAUGGAGAAGGGGGAAAACAACUCUAACUGCACCUGCUUUGGUAUUUCUGGCAGCCACCGCUCACUGGGGAAUCAGAGCACAAACUCCUUGCCCUAAGGAGGCUGCAAUUUCCCCUUCCUACUCCUCAGACCCCAAACAAACAGCUGUGGGGGGAUGUGGGCUCAUCCCACGUGUUCCUCUGCACCGUGUCCUCGUGCUCACCGUGUCCUCGUGCCCCGUGCUGGGGGCUCAGCACGUCCCUGCUUGCAGUGCCCUGGCGGUGACGGCGAGGUCGGGGUGAGGGUUUCGCAUUUCCCUGCCCGGCUGUUUACCCUGGGCUCAGGCUACAUCCAAACAACUGCUACAGUACGUCCUGAGUCACCACGGGCUCUGGCAGACGGGUGGUUUCGCCUGCCAGCUUCCCAGUACAGAAAGCGAGCUGGGCUCGGGAUGAAGGCACAACCUGCAUUCGCUUUGUGCCAUGCGUUUAUCGCCUAAGCUUGGGUGGUUUGGGGCACCUGAGUGAUGAGCACAUCGUUCCUGCUGCUGGGCGGUGUUGUGAUGAUGUGGUUGGAGAGGCUCUGGGGUUGGAGAGGUUCUGGGGUCGGACAGGCUCUGGGGUCACCCAUCCCACACGCUGAGCCAGCAGGAGCCCCAGGCUGCACCCCUAUGGGUGCUGGCACACAUGGAGGUGUGUGUGGAGCCCAGAGCAUCUCCCAAACCUGCCAGCUCUGUAAGAGCAAGGUCUUCCUUCAGCCCCAGCCAGCAGGCAUCCCACCAGUGUGGGCUUGGGGUGAAGGCAGGGGUCAUGGUAGAUGCACUCCCCCUCAUUUUCAGCACGUGCUGUGAGCACAGAUGUGCUGUGGGUCCCCUCCCCAUCUCGUCUUAAACAGAUGCUGGUUCCAGAGGUGACCAGCCCCAAAAACCCACCCCACACAGCCCACCAAGCACAGCUCCUUUGGGCCAUGGAGCACGUGCGGGAUCACACGCGAUCGCCUCCAUCCCUGCUGCUGUCUGAAGCUACUUAAAAAUCUGGUCAUUUUGCAUUCAGACAGAGUCAAGUCAUCGAUGAAACGAGGUGACUAAGCCCUGAUGCUGGCACACAUCAGCCACAUCCCUCGCUGCUUUGUCUCGUCUCGUUCGUAGCCGGGCCGUUAGCCACCGCGGCCACGUUAGCCGACUCAAUCCCAUGGCUGCAAGAACAUCCCGGUAGCAAAACCAGCCCCAAAACCAGAAAAGGUAUUCAUAGAUUCUCCAAAAUUUGGCUCUCAGGCUGUAAAUCCGUCUCUAGAAAAGCCCUCUUUCCACCCGCGUGUCCUUCACCAAGUUACUCAAAUCACUGCCAGUUGCAACAACAAUUUGUUGGGCAUUCUUUGAUGGUUUGUUAAAUCGCUCUCAGGUUCAUGGUGUUUGGCUUGGGUUGGUUUCUGAGCAGCUCAGCUGCACGCAAAAUAUAAAAAUAAAUAAAUAAAUAAAUAAAGAGGGGAAGAGAGAUUGAGGAAGAGGAAACCCAGCAGCAACCAGAGGCAAUUUCACAUUUAAGAGGACCAAAGGGUUUGCAGACCGUGCUCCCCCACACACGUGUUGUUCCCAGCUGCUGAGGUGGAAACCCACUGCCUGCCUUUGGCAAAGAAACCUCGGAGAAACAAGCAAACAUAUCACUGCUGACAGGUGCCUCUUCUGCCUCGGCUCAUCCCGCUCAGGGCACGGUUCAAAACACAGUGAUUUUGGUAGCAAAGCUGCUUCAGAGUCCCUCAUCCCACCCUGGAGCCCUGUCCUCA